ACCUAAGAGACCAACUAAGUUUGUUCUGGGUAUAAGCUUUUCUGUGCAUGCAAACUUCCUCAGAUACACGAAAGCUUAUACCCAGAACAAAUUUAGUUGGUCUCUAAGGU
rnacentral:miRNA from 1 species